rnacentral:lncRNA from 1 species
CACUCUGCUUCUUGUGGCUGAAGAGCAGCAGAAGGGAUACUCAGCCAGCCACUGAGCUGAGUAUCUUUUUAAUUUUGAGACAGUGACUUACUAAGUUGCACAAGUUGACCUCAAACUUUUGAUCCUCCUGCCUUGGCCUCCAGAGUAGCUGGGAUUACAGGUAUGUGCCACAGUGCCUCGCUAUU